rnacentral:rRNA from 1 species
AUUGAACGCUGGCGGCAUGCCUAACACAUGCAAGUCGAGCGAAUGCAGGGGGCUUGCUCCUGGAUGCAGCGGCGGACGGGUGGGUGAUGCCCAGGAGUCUGCCUGGUCUUUGGGGAUGAGGUCCGUAAACGGGCGCUAAUCCCGCAUCCGACCAGAUAUAGAAAGUGGGGGAUCUUCGGUCCUCACGCUUUCUGAUGAGCCUAGGACGUAUUAGCUAGUUGGUUGGGUAAAGGCCUACCAAGGCGACGAUCCGUAACUGGUCUGAGAGGAUGACCAGUCACACUGGAACUGAGACACGGUCCAGACUCCUACGGGAGGCAGCAGUAGGGAAUAUUGGGCAAUGGGCGAAAGCCUGAUCCAGCCAUGCCGCGUGAGUGAUGAAGGUCUUCGGAUUGUAAAGCACUGUAAGUUGGGAGGAAGGGAAGUAAGUUUAUACCUGGCUGUUUUGACGGUACCAACAGAAUAAGCACCGGCUAACUUCGUG